rnacentral:rRNA from 1 species
UACGUAGGGCGCAAGCGUUAUCCGGAAUUAUUGGGCGUAAAGAGCUCGUAGGCGGUUUGUCGCGUCGAAUGUGAAAACCCACGGCUCAACUGUGGGCUUGCAUUCGAUACGGGCAGGCUAGAGUUCGGUAGGGGAGACUGGAAUUCCUGGUGUAGCGGUGAAAUGCGCAGAUAUCAGGAGGAACACCGGUGGCGAAGGCGGGUCUCUGGGCCGAUACUGACGCUGAGGAGCGAAAGCGUGGGGAGCGAACAGG